GUUAUCGUCUAGCAAGUCGUCUAGUUCUGUACUACAUUGGCUGGCAGCAGCUCUCCAAAGGUAGGCAGGAGACCUUCCUAGCCCUAACUGGAGAUCCUGAUGAUUGAUCUUUGGAUCUUCUGGUAUGCAGAUCAGCUGCUCUGCCAUUGAGCUACAGCCUUUCCCCCUUUUGAAUGCACAGUUUCCCUUUCUUCAAAGGCACAGAAGAGCUCAUAAUCCAAGCACAGUUACUUUUUUCUAAAUCCCAUUUGCUUCCAAAAGCUAUGUAAACAUCUCUGGGAAGGACUGUAGUUCCCAUGUCUGAGCCAUCCAAGCCACUCUAUAUUGAAAAGUAUAAGAAUGCUACAGGCUGAAAGAAAAGUCAGAAAGAUUUCUGAAAACACUCCAGCUGAAACCUAUUUUUAAACAUAAAGGAACAGCAAAAGGGGGAGUAGGGUGACUUUUCCCUACAAUUUGCCGAAGUGCCACUUAAAGCUGUCCAAGGAGACGCCAAAGAUAUAGGAUGCGAUGCUGCCUAGAGAGAUUGCAUGAUCUUGAGGAGUAGUGACGGUAUUGACAUUGUGUUUUCACUGUCGCUGCACUGACAGCACAGACUGUAUCAAAAAGUUUUAAAAGCAAAAUAGAGGUUAGAUCCAUUAUCGAUACUCUAAAUUAAAAGAAUAAAUGAAUCACCCAACUGUAGUUAAUAGGCAAUUAACAUAAUUCUGGACCGGUGUAGCUGAAAGAUAAUGAAAAAGCUGAUUGCAAAUGAACCAGGAGUAAUGUGGGAGGUUGUAAUAGUCCCAUAACUCUGAAUGAGAAUCCUGCUUCCCCUCUUAAUUCUGGAUGCUUUGAUUGGCGAGGGCCUUUAUUGUGCCAUGAAACUCACCUGUCAGAGAAGAGGACGUGGAAGGGGCCUUUAUGUCUCAGAGGAUGGGGCAGAGAGGGAAAGCUCCACAUUUUGGAGACUGUUGUUGAAGAGAAUGAGAAACAAAAGAGAAGAAUAAGAACUAGCUGGGGAAAGGGUCAGUGAGGUGACUGCAGGACCCACAACUCUCUCUAUAGGCACAAUAGUAACACAGGGUAGAAAUAUGCCAGUCCAAGGGGCCUGGGUGACCCCCACAUAAUGUCCUAUUCACACAGGAGAACUUGCUUUUGAGUAAGCAUGGCACCUGGCUUGGGCACCUGGUAGGAAUUUGUAAGCGGCUGCCAGUGUCAUCUACUGUGACUGGUAGUGGGUCUCAAUGGGGUCUCAGGCAGAUAACUUUCAAAUCACCUUCAUGCACCCAAACUGACCCCCCCAAAACCUGGAGAUGCUAGGAAGUGAACUUGGGAGUUUCUGUGUGUGCAAAACAACAUGGGUUCUACUAUUAAGCUACACGGUAGGUAAAAAUGAAGACAAAGAUCCUGAAAAAGCCACAUUUGCUGUUGCCAUGAGAGAAGCUAGAUGCUGUUGUUGCUUCUCAGAGCCUUCAUAGUAACCCUUGCUGAGGAACCUGGAUGCAGCCUUUAACUGCAGCUGCACAGGGUGCUUCAGCCUGCCUACUCAGACAGCUGAUGGGCAGUCACCAAUACAUGGCCAGCCCAUGCAGUGUUGUGUGCACUUUCAGUGUUUAUCCUGGGAGAAAAUAAUUUUGCCUAUAUAGCAGAAGCAGUGGUCCAUUCAUGGCAGGGAAAUGAAUGUCAACUAUAGCAAACACUCUGAGAGGCUAGAAGCUUUUACUCUCUCUAUUUGACCUCUCAGGUCAAAUAGCACACCUCUCAGUUGAGUGAUUUUCAAGGCAAAGCGGCUAGGAGGUGAUUAGAAAGUAAGCUAAGGGGACCCACUGAUGGCUUUUUUUGCUGGGCAGAGGAGGGGUUAUAAUCUAGAGAUGACCCUGAUGAAGCUACUGUUGGGACAUGUUACUAAAAAGCAGGGACUAGGAGCUGGAACUGGGUGGCUUAUAGCCAACCUGGAUGAUUUUAUCUCCAUGCUCUUACAAUAGUCUGAGCCCUACGUGAGCACUUAGAUUCAUUUAAUAUAAUGCCACUGUUUCAAAUGGUUUUCAUUUAAUGCUGUAAGUGACAAAGAUCAAAGGGAUAAUAAUGUGCUUUUUUUUUCUUUUGCAGAAGACUCCUCUAUCCGGAUUUUAAAACAGAUAAGCAUGUCUUUACCUGUUCACCGAGGGUGAAAUGAUUCUAUUAUCACAUUUGCACAAAAUGGCAAACAAAUUGCAGUCCUGGAAAAAGCUAGCAUGUUUGUUGGAGAAUCUGCCUCUCUCUCUCUCUUUUAAUGGACUCACUGAAAAAUGUUCAUUUAUUGAAAAUGACAUGUCAUCACCCCAAGUUCCACUCUGACCAAGCUAAACUGAAUUACCACAGAUUUUAUGGAGGUGUUUAAUGAAUGUCUAAAUCUGGAUUUCAGAUAUUGCACUUCAUAUGUCGUUCUCUAAACUGCCUCACCAUAUUGCUUGAUGCAUAGUUAAAAUACUAUAAAAUGACUAAGCAUGGAUUAACAGAACUGUAUACUGCCU